GCAAGUCGAGCGGACCUUCGGGUCAGCGGCGGACGGGUGGGGAACACGUGAGUGAUCUAUCGAUGAGUGGGGGAUAUCGGGCCGAAAGGCGCGGCAAUCCCGCAUACGUUCCUACGGGAAGAAAGCUGGGCAACUGGCGCUCAUCGCGGAGCUCGCGGCCCAUUAGCUAGUUGGGGGGGGGUAACGGCCUCCCAAGGCGACGAUGGGUAGCCGGCCUGAGAGGGUGAACGGCCACACUGGGACUGAGACACGGCCCAGACUCCUACGGGAGGCAGCAGUAGGGAAUCUUCCACAAUGGGCGCAAGCCUGAUGGAGCAACGCCGCGUGAGUGAAGACGGCCUUCGGGUUGUAAAGCUCUGUCUGUCGGGACGAAGACCGGGACGGGAGUCCCGGGGAGCCGGUACCGACGAAGGAAGCCCCUGCAAACUACGUGCCAGCAGCCGCGGUAAGACGUAGGGGGCAAGCGUUGUCCGGAAUUACUGGGCGUAAAGGGCGUGUAGGCGGUGCGAUACGUAGCGGUUUUAAGCCUCCGGCUCACCCGGAGGAGGGCGGCUAAACGGUCGCACUGGAGGGCAGGAGAGGUGCGUGGAAUUCCUGGUGGAGCGGUGAAAUGCGUAGAGAUCAGGAAGAACACCAGUGGCGAAGGCGGCGCAC
rnacentral:rRNA from 1 species